GAUGAACAGUGGACAUCGAAAAUUUGGAGAGGCACGUACUUGGCAUCGCGUCUUGAAGUCGAUAUGUUCUCGCGGAAACCGAUGUGUACAAGGGUGGCGGGGCGGAGGAAACGCGGGAAGGAAGAAGUCAUCGACUUGGCGGUCUGGGCUUCCUUGAGCGGUGUCAAAACAGUCGCAAAAGGAGAGAGAAGGAAACAAACACACGAGGGACACAAGUCGCGAGAGACGAAACGCAGGACACGAGUCUGUCACUGGUUAUUCUUGCAGGCACUUUAAGUGAUCACCAGUGUCCACAGACUUCAGUGAUUGUAACAGGGAACGGAAAGAGAGCUUCCGAAAGAUACAGGACCACUUAUGAAUCCUUGUCAGCACUCAAGACAUGAGGUCUAAAUCCCGGAACACACACUCAGUCAGCCGAACCCGCAGCAAAAUAAACUUUAAGUUUAUCGGUCACGAACAAGGUGAUGACCUCCGUGAA